UGCCUGAAGAUGAGCUCGCGUCCGAUUAGCUAGUAGGUGGGGUAAGAGCCUACCUAGGCGACGAUCGGUAGCUGGUCUGAGAGGAUGACCAGCCACACUGGGACUGAGACACGGCCCAGACUCCUACGGGAGGCAGCAGUGGGGAAUUUUCCGCAAUGGGCGAAAGCCUGACGGAGCAAUACCGCGUGAGGGAGGAAGGCUCUUGGGUUGUAAACCUCUUUUCUCAGGGAAGAACACAAUGACGGUACCUGAGGAAUCAGCAUCGGCUAACUCCGUGCCAGCAGCCGCGGGUAAUACGGAGGAUGCAAGCGUUAUCCGGAAUGAUUGGGCGUAAAGCGUCCGCAGGUGGCUGUGUAAGUCUGCUGUCAAAGAGCAAAGCUCAACUUUGUUAAAGGCAGUGGAAACUACACGGCUAGAGUGCGUUCGGGCAGAGGGAAUUCCUGGUGUAGCGU
rnacentral:rRNA from 1 species